rnacentral:pre_miRNA from 1 species
UGUGUACUCCCUCCGUCCAACAAAAGAUGUCUCAAGUUUGUCAAAAUUUGGAUGUAUCUAGACAUGACUUAGUGUAUAGAUGCAUUCAAAUUUAGUCAAAGUUGAGACAUCCUUUGUUGGACGGAGGAAGUAUGUA